CCUGGGCGUGCGGGACGGUAAGUCACGCCCCCGCGUUUCCUCACAAAUGUGUUAAGACUAUAAAAUUGAGUUCGACUUAUUAACACCACAAAAAUGCCGCCAGGCUUACGGGCCUGCGCUGGUUUUGAAUGCGGGUUUGUACAUGUACAGAGCCCAGCUGCUCCAUGGCACCGCCCAGGCCCAGCUACCCCGGAGAAGGUGGCGGGGGGGCGGGAAUUCACUUCAUGGUUCUCACCCUGCCCUGGCAGCCGUGUGAGGGACACCCCACAAGUUCUGCUCCCUGCUUUCUGUGGUGAGAAAAUUAACUGCUGGCUUUUGCACUCAUCCUGAUUCGAAAUUCUCCAUGGAACCACCCUGGCACAGCUCCACCAGAGAAGGUGCCAGGGAGGGAUUCUCCUCAUGGUUCUCACCCUGCCCUGGUAGCCGUUUGAGGUACACCACAGAAGUUCUGUUCUCUGCUUUCUGUGGUGAGAAAAUUAACUGCUCAAUUUUGCACUUGUGCAGAGCACAAAUGCUCCAUGGAACCAACCAGACACAGCUCCACCAGAGAAGGUGCCAGGGAGGGAUUCCCUUACUGGUUCUCACCUUGCCCUGGUGCGUAUGUGAAGGAUGUCACCAAAGUUCUGGUGUAUGCUUUCUGAGGUAAAAAAUUUAAUUGCUUGCUUUUGUACAUGUACAGACUCAGAUGCUCCGUGGAACCAUGCAGCCACAGCUACUCUGGAGAGGGUGCCAUGAUGGACUUACCUGUUUUCUGAACCGAUAAAAGGUACCGUCAGCAGAACAGAACAGUCCGUGCUGUCUCUGUCGUAUCUCAACAUAAACAGAGCAUCACCCAGAGCAUGGCACCAAACCCAUCCUCACCCUGCCCUGGUAGCUAUCUGAAGGACAUCACUAAAGCUGGACUACCCACUUGCUGAACCAAUAAAAGGUGCUGGACUACUGCUGCAAGUUAACAGUGUUUCGCUGGUGUACUGCAAAACUGCCUUAUGCCGUGGCAAUGGACUUUUUCAUCAGAAAUUCCAUCAAGCUUGAAAGCUUUUGAUGUGCUGUGGAUGAGCUGUCACAAGAUCCAAUAACACUGCAGGUGAUAUUCAAAGCCUGAAUCAUGCAAUGAGCUCUGUACUUCAUGGGAUCUUCAGACGUGAUGACACACUUUGAUUUCUUUCUUGGCGUACACAGUAUGUGCUGUGGUGCAGAGGAUUCCAGUUGCCAUAAUUUCCAGUGGAAAGAAUAAUUAUCACAGG